AUGUGGGCAACCACGAUGCGGGAAGCCCAAGUGCCAGCACUAUGUGUUGGCUGUCCUCGAGUGUUUACAACUCGGGAAGAAAGAGCUGGGUAAGACGGGUGCCAGCCGCCGCGGUAAUACCCGCAGCUCAAGUGGUGGUCAUUAUUAUUGGGCCUAAAGCGUCCGUAGCUGGCCUGUUAGAUGCCUGGGUAAAUCGAAUCGCUCAACGGUUCGACUUCCGGGUAGACCGGCAGGCUCGGGACCGGGAGAGGUGUAGGGUACUCGGGGGGUAGGGGUAAAAUCCUGUAAUCCUCCGGGGACGACCCGUGGCGAAGGCGCUACACUAGAACGGCUCCGACAGUGAGGGACGAAGCCCUGGGGCGCAAACCGGAUUAGAUACCCGCGUAGUCC
rnacentral:rRNA from 1 species